rnacentral:misc_RNA from 1 species
GAUGAAGACGCAGCGAAAUGCGAUACGUAAUGUGAAUUGCAAAUUCAGUGAAUCAUCGAGUCUUUGAACGCACAUUGCGCCCCCUGGUAUUCCGGGGGGCAUGCCUGUCCGAGCGUCAUUGCUGCCCUCAAGCACGGCUUGUGUGUUGGGCCCCGUCCUCCGAUUCCGGGGGACGGGCCCGAAAGGCAGCGGCGGCACCGCGUCCGGUCCUCGAGCGUAUGGGGCUUUGUCACCCGCUCUGUAGGCCCGGCCGGCGCUUGCCGAUCAACCCAAAUUUUUAUCCAGGUUGACCUCGGAUCAGGUAGGGAUACCCGCUGAACUUAAGCAUAUCAAUAAGCGGAGGA